rnacentral:lncRNA from 1 species
UUUGAUUCAUCCAACUGUCUAAGUUUACCCUUAUAAUGGUCACCUUUGAAAGUUGUAAGGUUAGAAAAUUCCUAAAGGUCUUUCAUGUCAAUAUUUAUGAUUGGGUCACGAUAAGACCUAGCUUUUAUAUCGAGGUGUUGGAACAUGCCCAGUUGGCUAAAGAUAUUAUCUUGGCUCGGCACUAACUCAUUAUCAAAGUUCGUACACAACAACAAUGCACCAGAAGAAGAUUGUCCGACACAGUUAGUAACCAUCCUAAAAAGAGACUCUGAGUUGCCCCUCCUCCUACUUUGCCUCCACCCACUAGACACCCUGCUCAACCUACAUAACCAUGUUAACAUUGUGAAUGCUUGCAUGAACCCUUUCAACGUUCGAGCAAUGCUUACUAUAAGUG